GGUGUGUGGGAGUUCGACUAGAACAAUAGAAAAACAAGGGAAACCCUUGUUCUUGCUAAAAUCACUCAAUUGAUCAAGGAAUUCAAGCCUAAUCACUUGCAUGAUUCUAAAUUCGGUCAUCUCACAUACUCACCGUGAAGGAAGAAAGCUCAAGUGCUAGGAAAACGGAAAACACGCAAGAUCGAGGUAAAUCCGCAACUUAGACGUGAUGGCGAAUUUGGAACGAACACACGCGUGAAACUUGUCUAUAUGCGCUUCCGCUAUUUUGU
rnacentral:lncRNA from 1 species